rnacentral:lncRNA from 1 species
GAGCCGGAGCACCCGGCCGCGGACAAGACGGCGGUGAGCGCGUGGAGGAAGAUGAGGAGCAGGCCGCAGGGCGACGGCAGGAGGCGGAGGGACAGCGUGAGGAAGAUGCAGCUGGAGGCCGCGCCCAGCAGCGCGUAGUUGCAGAGGAGGAACGCCUUGUGCGUGUGCACCUUGCCGGACGCCAUCUCGGCCGGCGGGAGUUGGCUCGCGGUCGGAUCGAGAGGGAUUUGCUUGCUUGGUGGGGUGGAUCGGGACUGGGGAUGGUGAGUGGUGAGUGAGGAGUGAGGAGUGAGGAGUGGAG